CUACGGGGGGCUGCAGUGAGGAAUUUUGCGCAAUGGGGGAAACCCUGACGCAGCAACGCCGCGUGGGUGAUGAAGGCUUUCGGGUCGUAAAGCCCUGUCGGGUGGGAAGAAUGUUUCCGGGUUGAACAGAUCCGGGAAGUGACGGUACCACCAGAGGAAGCACCUGGUAACUCCGUGCCAGCAGCCGCGGUAAUACGGAGGGUGCUAGCGUUAUUCGGAAUUACUGGGCGUAAAGAGCGUGUAGGCGGCCGAACGAGUCUGAUGUGAAAGCCCGGGGCUCAACCUCGGAAGUGCAUUGGAAACGGUUUGGCUUGAGUACCGGAGAGGAAAGGGGAAUUCCCGGUGUAGCGGUGAAAUGCGUAGAUAUCGGGAGGAAUACCGGUGGCGAAGGCGCCUUUCUGGACGGAUACUGACGCUGAGACGCGAAAGCGUGGGGAGCAAACAGGAUUAGAUACCCCGGUAGUC
rnacentral:rRNA from 1 species